rnacentral:lncRNA from 1 species
CGGGCAUAAAUUUGUACGCAUGUUCUAAGAGUUCAGCAUACGUCCAAGAGAGGAUUUUAUCCAAUGAGUACGUGAAUCGAGACCUCCUAAAGCCUCUUUUCAUAGUUGAUAUGGUCAUAUCUUUAUUGAGGUCUCUGACCUCAAGCGUUGCAGCAUUGAAUCGGGCUAUGAAAUCUUAGAGUGUUUCGGUCUCUCCUUGUUUGAUCGAAAAGAGACUAUCCAAGGUCUAUAACAGUCUCCGACUGAUACUGAAAUAGGCCACGAAGGAAUGUUCUAGCUGCUCGAAGUAGUGGAUACUUCCUGACC